GAUGAACGCUAGCUACAGGCUUAACACAUGCAAGUCGAGGGGAAACGAUAUUGGAAGCUUGCUUCCGAUAGGCGUCGACCGGCGCACGGGUGAGUAACGCGUAUCCAACCUGCCCACCACUUGGGGAUAACCUUGCGAAAGUAAGACUAAUACCCAAUGAUAUCUCAGGAAGACAUCUGAAAUGGAUUAAAGAUUUAUCGGUGAUGGAUGGGGAUGCGUCUGAUUAGCUUGUUGGCGGGGUAACGGCCCACCAAGGCGACGAUCAGUAGGGGUUCUGAGAGGAAGGUCCCCCACAUUGGAACUGAGACACGGUCCAAACUCCUACGGGAGGCAGCAGUGAGGAAUAUUGGUCAAUGGGCGAGAGCCUGAACCAGCCAAGUAGCGUGCAGGAUGACGGCCCUAUGGGUUGUAAACUGCUUUUAUAAGGGAAUAAAGUGAGCCUCGUGAGGCUUUUUGCAUGUACCUUAUGGAUAAGGACCGGCUAAUUCCGUGCCAGCAGCCGCGGUAA
rnacentral:rRNA from 1 species